GAGGGUAUAGCUCAGAGGCAGAGCACAUGCUUAGCGUGCUUGAGGUCCUGGGUUCAAUCCCCAGUCCCUCCA
rnacentral:tRNA from 1 species